GGUGGAUGCGGCCUCGAUUAGCGGGGGAACCACAUGAAAAAAAGCGAGCUACUGGGUGUACCUCCUGGGUAGUUUGGAAAUCACCUAAGAUAUAUAUGUAUAUAUUUAUAAAUAAAAGUUAAUAUAUAUAAAUUAACAUUAAUUUUUUUUAACAGGAAAUGCACAAUGCUAAAAACUGCGUAGGAGAUUUUAAUACAAUAGUACUACCAAGCCUGAUGUUGGCCGCUAUUUCAAUGAAUGCAGCAGUGUCACAGCUAGCAAUCAAAAGUAACAAGAUAUUGAGGAAAUGCAGAUGGCAAUAAACUGUGUAGGAGUUCAUGAUUGCAAUAGAAUAAAAUCGACCAAGCCUGAAGUCAGCAGCCCCUUCAAUGAAUGCAGCAGUGUGACAGCCAGCAAUCAAAAGUUACAAGAUACCGAGGAAAUGCGCAAUAAACUGUGUAGGAGUUUAUGAUUGCAAUAGAAUAAAAUCGACCAAGCCUGAAGUCAGCAGCCCCUUCAAUGAAUGCAGCAGUGUGACAGCCAACAAUCAAAAGUUACAAGAUAUCGAGGAAAUGCAGAAGGCAAAAAACUGCGUAGGAGAUCAUUAAUACAAAAGUAUUAUAUAAACCAAACCUGAUGUUGCCAGCUCCUUCAAUGAAUGCAGCAGUGUGACAGCCAGCAAUCAAAAGUAACAAGAUGUCGAGGAAAUGCAGAAGGCAAAAAACUGCGUAGGAGAUCAUUAAUACAAUAGUAUUAUAUAAACCAAGCCUGAUGUUGGCCGCUCAUUCAAAGAAUGCAGCAGUGUGACAGCCAGCAAUCAAAAGUAACAAGAUGUCGAGGAAAUGCAGAGUGCAAUAAACUUUGUAGGAGAUUAUGAUUGCAAUAGAAUAAAAUCGACCAAGCCUGAAGUUCUUCAAUGCACGCAGCAGUGUGACAGCCAGCAAUCAAAAGUUACAAGAUAUCGAGGAAAUGCAGAGUGCAAUAAACUUUGUAGGAGAUUAUGAUUGCAAUAGAAUAAAAUCGACCAAGCCUGAAGUUCUUCAAUGCACGCAACAGUGUGACAGCCAGCAAUCAAAAGUUACAAGAUAUCGAGGAAAUGCAGAAGGCAAAAAACUGCGUAAGAGAUUAUUAAUACAAUAGUAUUAUAUCAACCAAGCCUGAUGUCGGUAGCUUCUUCAAUGAAUGCAGCAGUGUGACAGCCAGCAAUCAAUAGUGAUAGUGACAAGAAUCUAGGAAAUACAGAAGGCAAAGAAGCAGAUGUCAUCAAAGAAGAUCUUUGUUCCUGCAAUGUUUCCGCAGACGAUACAUCCAACAGAGCGAAGUGGAAGGAAAAGACUCGGAAAAAAGACCCCACCACCAUAUGGGAACAAUGCAAGGGAGAGAGAGAGAAUAUAAUGUUAUAUUUUUAUUUUUUGAUAACAUAAAAUAAACCAACAAUAUCCUA
rnacentral:lncRNA from 1 species